rnacentral:rRNA from 1 species
UACGAAGGGUGCAAACGUUGCUCGGAAUUAUUGGGCGUAAAGCGCACGUAGGCGGCUUGGCAAGUCGGAUGUGAAAUCCCUCGGCUCAACCAAGGAAGUGCAUCCGAAACUGCUGAGCUUGAGUAUUUAAGAGGAUCGCGGAAUUCCCGGUGUAGAGGUGAAAUUCGUAGAUAUCGGGAGGAACACCAGUGGCGAAGGCGGCGAUCUGGGAAGAUACUGACGCUGAGGUGCGAAAGCGUGGGGAGCAAACAGG